rnacentral:rRNA from 1 species
AUUGAACGCUGGCGGCAGGCCUAACACAUGCAAGUCGAGCGGAUGAGUGGAGCUUGCUCCAUGAUUCAGCGGCGGACGGGUGAGUAAUGCCUAGGAAUCUGCCUGGUAGCGGGGGACAACGUUUCGAAAGGAACGCUAAUACCGCAUACGUCCUACGGGAGAAAGUGGGGGAUCUUCGGACCUCACGCUAUCAGAUGAGCCUAGGUCGGAUUAGCUAGUUGGUGAGGUAAAGGCUCACCAAGGCGACGAUCCGUAACUGGUCUGAGAGGAUGAUCAGUCACACUGGAACUGAGACACGGUCCAGACUCCUACGGGAGGCAGCAGUGGGGAAUAUUGGACAAUGGGCGAAAGCCUGAUCCAGCCAUGCCGCGUGUGUGAAGAAGGUCUUCGGAUUGUAAAGCACUUUAAGUUGGGAGGAAGGGCAGUAAGUUAAUACCUUGCUGUUUUGACGUUACCAACAGAAUAAGCACCGGCUAACUUCGUG